UAGUCCACGCCGUAAACGAUGAGUGCUAGAUAUCGGGGAUUUAUUCUUCGGUUUCGCAGCUAACGCAUUAAGCACUCCGCCUGGGGACUACGAUCGCAAGAUUAAAACUCAAAGGAAUUGACGGGGGGCUCGCACAAGUGGUGGAGCAUGCGGUUUAAUUCGAUGCUACGCGAAAAACCUUACCAACCCUUGACAUGGUAGUCGCGAAUUCCAGAGAUGGAGUUCUUCAGUUCAGCUGGACUACACACAGGUGUUGCAUGGCUGUCGUCAGCUCGUGCCGUGAGAUGUUGGGUUAAGUCCCGCAACGAGCGAAACCCUCAUUCUUAUUUGCCAGCGGCUCGGCCGGGGACUAUAAGGAAACUGCCGGUGAUAAACCGGAAGAAGGUGGGGAUGAUGUCAAGUCAUCAUGGCCCUUAUGGGUUGGGCUACACGCGUGCUACAAUGGUAUCUACAGAGGAAAGCAAUAUGGCAACAUGGAGCAAAUCCUCAAAAGAUAUCU
rnacentral:rRNA from 1 species